rnacentral:rRNA from 1 species
AUUGAACGCUGGCGGCAGGCCUAACACAUGCAAGUCGAACGAGUGGCGGACGGGUGAGUAAUGUCUGGGAAACUGCCUGAUGGAGGGGGAUAACUACUGGAAACGGUAGCUAAUACCGCAUACCAUCGGAUGUGCCCAGAUGGGAUUAGCUAGUAGGUGGGGUGAAGGCUCACCUAGGCGACGAUCCCUAGCUGGUCUGAGAGGAUGACCAGCCACACUGGAACUGAGACACGGUGCAGACUCCUACGGGAGGAAGCAGGGGGGAAUAAGGGCAAAUGGGCGCAAGCCUGAUGCAGCCAUGCCGAGGGUAUGAAGAAGGCCUUCGGGGUGGAAAGUACUUUCAGCGGGGAGGCGUUACCCGCAGAAGAAGCACCGGCUAACUCCGUGCCAGCAGCCGCGGUAAUUC